rnacentral:piRNA from 1 species
AAUAGGGCACGUGGCUAAUAAUAAAU